GUAGUCGUGGCCGAGUGGUUAAGGCGAUGGACUUCAAAUCCAUUGGGGUCUCCCCGCGCAGGUUUGAAUCCUGCCGACUACG
rfam:Danio rerio chromosome 4, GRCz11 reference primary assembly.